GUAAGCCGUGUGCGGGAAAACCGCAAGCACGGUUUGAAAGGGGGAACUGGAACCGGGCUUAAGUAGCCUGCGCCAGCUUCUACCAACGUUUCCUACAAAUUCGGCCUUAU
rnacentral:ncRNA from 1 species